CUCUGCAAGCAUUUUUCAAUUUUGAUAAAAGAUCACUGGUCGCUCUCUUUCUUCUGGAGCUCUCUGCCUUCGCUCUUCUUUUCAUUUUCUUCGUUAGAUCUAGUAUCGACCUUUAGAUUUUUCUUGCAGAAUUAGUGUUUCUUAAGCUUCAUCUAACAUUCUAAGCAGUCACAGACACUCCCCGCCACGUGUGGAAUAUUCAAAUUCAGCUGGAAUACCUACAACUACAACACUACUUUGCUGAACCACCCGCCUCUUUCUUCCUCUUGCAAGUGGAAAUGAAGAAAAACAAGAAAAAGCUGGAGGCCAAUGGGUAUAAGCAUAUAAUCAUAUGCUCCCUUCAUUUAUUGGUAUGGGAGGAGUUGGCAAGAAAAUAUUUGUCCGUUGAAGCUCCAAUGGCAGCCUGCAAGUUUGUCUGUUGAAGCUUUAAUGGCAGUUGUUCUCUCCCCCCAGUUGUUGGGAUAAAUGGAGGAUGUCAUAUUCUCUCUUCGUCCAUCAGCGAUCGAAGAGGGUUUACCGUGGUACGCUGAGAUUCGUGAGUACACUAGUUUAUCCGAUGCUAAUUCCUCUUUAUCUUCUUCGGUUCUGAUCGUGACUAGAGACGAGGCUUUUCCAUCUUCGGGACCUUUAGAUGUACCUGUCGAGACUUCUGAGACACAUGAGGAGCCUAUUCAGCCUCCUGUUAUGAAGCAGGCUAUAUGUUCUCCUGUUGUUCAGAGCCCACGGACGACAGAGUAUCUUGGAGUGGAGGGCCACCCUAGCGUGGAGGAGCAUCCUGGAGUGGAGGGCCACCCUAGCGUGGAGGAGCAUCCUGGAGUGGAGGACCGCACUACCCAUCAUGCCACCGAGCAGUGUCUCCCAUUCGUAUCACGCAGUAUUUCUACAUUAGAUGUUACAUUAGUGCACUGGGGUGUUACAAUUUUACGUGAGAUAUCGAGUUUUCGCGACGAUAUCUUUUCCCAGAUGACUCGAUUAGAGGAUCGUAUGACUCGUUUGGAGGACAUCAUUACGCGUGCAUAUUCAGCCCCUGUCGCUGAGGAAAGGGACGACGUUAUUGGGACCACCUCCCCCAUUGGUACCGCAAUACCAUCCCAUCAGUCACGAGGGUAAUCGACAGGAUGGGGCACCGGUUGACCCUUUGGUGACUUCACCAAUCCGAUUUGUGGGUCUUCGUCAUGAAGGCCAAUCGAUCGGAUCUCUUAUCAUUUUAGAUCGUCCAUCGGAGGACUCGACAUUGAUAUAUCAUCGAUCAAGAGUUAUCUCCGAAAACCUUCCCUGGAAGUUCAGGACGAGCGACUAUGGUUACUUGUUGAUAUCCCGAGCUCGAUCAAAAAGCUUGUGGAUAUUAGUUCAUAGGAGAAGGACUUCAAGGAGGAUGUUUCUGAGACCGUUCACAUUGAGUCUGUCGACGGAGCACGCGUUGUUGACUUGACUGUGAUUCAGGAUUCUCCAGUUAAACCUCCUCUUGCAUACAUGGAGAAGUUAGUUUGUAUAGCACGUCGUCGGAUCGUCUGGAAGGGUCUACUGGUUCGCACCCCGUAUACGACAACUCACGACGAUUUCAUCCUUUAUGUUAGACCAUGAGGAAUCUUUUCUCACAUGGUAUAUCAAAGCUGCGGCUUUUGACACAUAUGAGGUCUACUUCAUAAGAUCGAAGUCGAAUGACAGUUUUUUUAGGCUUAUUGUAGAGUUGUGUGAGUGGUUGACUGACGAUUAUGUGGAUUUUUUUUUGGCUUUAUUACGUCGGCAGCAGGACGAUCACCAGUUGAUUAUCUCACAGCGUUGGACGACUGUCAACACAUUCUUUGGAGGUUAUAUUGAGGUGGCCUGAAAGAGUUGACAGACCACAUCGAUUGGCGAGUUUGAGUUGGCUAUUCACUAGGAUGGUUGAUGCAGCGUACACCCUCGGGUUGUUGUACAAACCAGGGGGAUGGUCGAUCAGGUUUUCAUCCCUAUAGAUUUUCGUGAGUGGUCGAUUACGGUAUACGAUUCAGAGGUAUCAUAUUCGGGGAAUAUAGAGACUUGAGCAGCGCGUGCGAUCGUAUGACAUUUAUUCCCGCUUUAUUAGAGGCGACGAGUUUUUGGACAGCUUCUGGGAGAUUCCACGACAUGAGCCCCUCACUUUGCAUCGAGCGUCGGAUGUCCCUCGGCAGGGAUUGGGCUUCGGUGACUGUGGCGUGUUUAUGUUACAAUUUUUGGAGUGUUUGGCGUUGUCACGGAGCUACGAUUUUCCCCGAGUCGUCUACCUUUAUGCGUUGACGAUUAGCGGCGUAGUUGUAUUUUCACUGUAUCGAGUAGUUCACGGAUGUAUAUUUAUCGUUCUACCUAUGUUUAGAUGUAUAUAUUUAUUGUAUGUGUAAA